UCACGCGUAUAAUCCCAGCACUUUAGGAGGACAAGGCGGGUGGAUCACUUGAGGCCAGGAGUUUGAGACCAGCCUGGCCAACAUGGUGAAACCCUGUCUCUACUAAAAACACAAAAAUUAGCUGGGCAUGGUGGCACAAGCCUGUAAUUCCAGCUGCUCAGGGGGCUGAGACACAAGAAUCUCGAACCGGGAGGCUGACGUUGCAGUGAGCAGAGAUGGUGCCACUGUACUCCAGCCUGGGCGACAGAGUGAGUCUCUAUCUCAAAAAAAAAAAGGAAACUGAGCAUAGAGAGAUUAAAAAACUUGUCCAAGGUCAUACGGCUAGAAAGUGACAGAGCCCGGAUUUGAACCCUGCCAGGAUGCCUUGAGAAUCUGUAAUCUUAACCAUUAUUCUCUCCUACCUUUCUUUUUUCUGACCUUUUCCUCUGCAGGUUAUUGUUCAAAACUACAACUCCAUUUUGACACUUUCUCACUUGUACCGAUCUUCAGACGCCCUCCUUCUUCAUGAGAAUGAUGCCAUCCAUAAGAUCUGUGCAAAACUGAUGAAUAUCAAGCAGAUCUCCUUUAGUGAUAUCAAUCAAGUCCUCGCACAUCAGCUGGGAAGUGUGUUCCAGCCUACUUAUUCUGCAGAAAGCUCAUUUCACUACAGACGAAAUCCACUAGGAGACUUAAUGGAGCAUUUAGUUCCCCAUCCUGAAUUCAAGAUGCUGAGCGUUCGUAACAUUCCUCACAUGUCUGAGAAUUCAUUGGCAUACACCACAUUUACUUGGGCUGGCCUCCUCAAGCAUUUGAGACAGAUGCUCAUUUCUAAUGCAAAGAUGGAAGAAG
rnacentral:sRNA from 1 species